rnacentral:tRNA from 1 species
GGUGGCGUAGUUCAGUAGGCUAGAACGUCGGCCUGUCACGCCGAAAGUCACGGGUUCAAACCCCGUCGUCAUCG